rnacentral:lncRNA from 1 species
GGUAAAAUUAUCACCAAAUCCCCAAAAAACGAUUCUAAUCAUAUUCCAAGCCAAAACCCUUCCCCAAAAUCAUAUCUCCCUUCAUUCAUUUACAAGAAAAUCUCAAUCCAUAAUCAUCAUUUUGAUCUUCCACACAUUAUCCGCAAAAUGUAAUCACCAGAAUAUCACCCAAAUCAACCAUUUGAUUUGUACUUUCAGUUGUUACUAUAAAACCCCAAUCUACGUAGAAAAUAUCAAAAUCUCCUUGUUAAAAUGUAUACCAUGGCUGCUGAUACAAACACAUCUUCAUUGGGAUAUGUAUGGCUUGUGAGAAAUGUCAAAGAGACUCCAGUCGCAGCCGACCAGCAAUGACGUUUGUCCAUGGUUAACAUCAAGACCCAGCAAGCAGGCGAAUACUCCAAGUCCUGUGAGAUUAUCGAACCCAAGAACGAAACGAUUAAUACCCCUACUCGUCGCAUUACCCAUUCUAUUUACAUAUCCUCACAGUCGAAAGAUUUCGCCAGUGGUCCAUCUGCUACAAGGGUCGUGAACACCAACUCCUAAAAUUUGGGAAAGAUUAUCCAAAUGAAGGACAGUGAUAAGAGGCUCAUUGAAGAUGCACUUGCAAAUCCAAGCAACACAAAGAAAAAGUUUGGAGCCCCACACAAACACAGGUAUUUUUUUGGUGUCUUAACAAAUAUUUUGGACCCUUAUACCAGUUACGAUAGCAAAUAUUUAUGAUUAUCAAUUUAUACAUGAUUUCAUUCAAGUGAAUAGAUAGAGGGGUGUGAUUGUCGAAACCUGACUUCUUGAUUUCUUGUGUAAUUGAAUACCCCAUUAUAUUUAUGAUUGAUGCCUAGGAUAUGGUCAUUUAUUGCACAAAUAUUAUUGCUUAUGAUUUUCACUUAGAAUAAUGAAAUUCCUAAGUUGUAUACGAACACACAACGAAGUAGAGUGUUAAGCUGUUAUAAUGAGUCUCAUAUAUUAUGUUGUAGUAAUUAGUUUAAGAAGUAAUUAUUUUCAGUCAUGUGCAAUAAAAGUCCAAUAAAUAAAUAAUUUUCAUGAAAUUUUGAUCACUGUAUUACGUUUUUCUCAUGGGAUUUUAUUAUUGAAUUGUAUGGAUUUAUUGUUUUGCUUUGGAUCAAUGCUUUAUGAUGCACAUGUUUUCAUAUAUGAACGAGGGGUGAAUAGAGUAUUUCAGUCAAAUGCAUAAUAUUUUCAAUACGGAUGAAGUACAUUCGGAUACAACACCAAACAACACAUAUACAUGCCUCAAUUUGUGAUAUGUCAAUGAUGGAAAUAUAAUCAUUCAAAUUUGGAAUUUGUUUUGAAAUAUCAGAACAUAGAAUGUGUGAAUCAUUGCACCAAUUUAUAUGCACAUCAAUCUCCUUUGUAGGGUUCAAUCUAUACUCCGUUGGUAUAUUUGGCAAGAUCUCUACCACUCUUACAUGUAAUGCAUAGACCGUCAUGCAUGCAUCUCUACGCUUAAGCUCCAAAUAGAAAUGUAGAGAGCCGUAAUUUUUUAUUCGGCAACUCCUAAAAUUUGGGAAAGAUUAUCCAAAUGAAGGACAGUGAUAAGAGGCUCAUUGAAGAUGCACUUGCAAAUCCAAGCAACACAAAGAAAAAGUUUGGAGCCCCACACAAACACAGGUAUUUUUUUGGUGUCUUAACAAAUAUUUUGGACCCUUAUACCAGUUACGAUAGCAAAUAUUUAUGAUUAUCAAUUUAUACAUGAUUUCAUUCAAGUGAAUAGAUAGAGGGGUGUGAUUGUCGAAACCUGACUUCUUGAUUUCUUGUGUAAUUGAAUACCCCAUUAUAUUUAUGAUUGAUGCCUAGGAUAUGGUCAUUUAUUGCACAAAUAUUAUUGCUUAUGAUUUUCACUUAGAAUAAUGAAAUUCCUAAGUUGUAUACGAACACACAACGAAGUAGAGUGUUAAGCUGUUAUAAUGAGUCUCAUAUAUUAUGUUGUAGUAAUUAGUUUAAGAAGUAAUUAUUUUCAGUCAUGUGCAAUAAAAGUCCAAUAAAUAAAUAAUUUUCAUGAAAUUUUGAUCACUGUAUUACGUUUUUCUCAUGGGAUUUUAUUAUUGAAUUGUAUGGAUUUAUUGUUUUGCUUUGGAUCAAUGCUUUAUGAUGCACAUGUUUUCAUAUAUGAACGAGGGGUGAAUAGAGUAUUUCAGUCAAAUGCAUAAUAUUUUCAAUACGGAUGAAGUACAUUCGGAUACAACACCAAACAACACAUAUACAUGCCUCAAUUUGUGAUAUGUCAAUGAUGGAAAUAUAAUCAUUCAAAUUUGGAAUUUGUUUUGAAAUAUCAGAACAUAGAAUGUGUGAAUCAUUGCACCAAUUUAUAUGCACAUCAAUCUCCUUUGUAGGGUUCAAUCUAUACUCCGUUGGUAUAUUUGGCAAGAUCUCUACCACUCUUACAUGUAAUGCAUAGACCGUCAUGCAUGCAUCUCUACGCUUAAGCUCCAAAUAGAAAUGUAGAGAGCCGUAAUUUUUUAUUCGGAUAGGGGACAUAUCUACAUCAGCAAUGUACUCAAUCUUCGAGAUUAUUAUAUUUGGAAAUAUUAUAUUUUAAGAAAUAGGUAGAUUCGAGAUUAUUUUACAUUUAAUCAAGUAUUUUUGGUUUUGUAAACGUAACAUAGUAAAUGAUGAAAUAAUUUUCAGUAAUGAUACAAUUACCAAAAUUUCCCAGGACUAAAUUUUUGCUACAAACUGGAAGUCCAAUUUACAUUUUGGGUGGGCUUUUGAAGUUCGGUCACAGUCCAGAAAGGCCAACUUGAAAAAGAUGAUUAUUGCUUGUCACUUUGUUUGCUGAAAAUGGUAAGGAGCACCAAAUAAAUAUGGGAAAAGCUCAUAUGUCAUCAUCUGGGUGCAUGAACAGGAUAGGCAUGAAAGAUAAGUGCAGUCAAUGGAGAUUAUAAUUAGGCUUUUGUGGUGCUUAAGAAGUUUCUUGAUCUUUAAUUAUCAACAAUCUUGACUUUACCAACAUUAUUGCCACUUGCCGAAUGCACCAAUAAUUGGCCAAACAUGCUCUUUUACCUUAAUUCAAUUCUAAGCACUCAAAAUGUUAAACUUAUUAUUAAGGGAAUAAUUUUAAUUAUGGAAACUUGGUGUAAGCAGUGUCAGCAUUAUUGACUGUUGAGAAUCUUUAAAAAUCAACUGUAUAAAUUCUUUCUCGAUCACUGGGCAAUUUGCAAAACGAAAGUGGUCAGUAAUUUGCAACCUCAUAUUAUUAUGAGAGUUGUCUCUUCUAAACAUUUUCGAACCAAAUUGCUCAUCCAUGAAUAUAUUGUGUUCGUGAGAUAAAAAUGCUUUUCCAUUCGGUUAUUUGGAUGACUAAAAUGUGGGCUUCAAAUCAUGAGCCUAGAGCUUGUAUAGCAAGUACUGUUGUUAAGACAUAUUUAGCCCUUGUUUGGUGGGAAUUAAAAUUUGAAUUUUAGUAGAUUUUGAUAAAAGUUGAUGAAAUGUAUAGUUGAAAGUUAUGGGUCUCAUGAAAUGUGUGGUUAAAAUUAACUGCUAACUUUAACUUAGAUUAAAAUCUAGAUUUUAAUUUUCACCAAACAGUGGCCUAAUUAAUUGUAGCAAUUGGAGAGAACAGAUUCAAUUUGCAUGCUCUCACAAUAAUGUAGUCUUUUUUUCUUUUUUCUUUCUUUUUUAUCCACUUGAAAUUGUAUCCACAACGAACAUGAAAGCAUACCAUGAUUUGUGCCUUUGCUUUGUUAGGCAUUGCAUGAAGAAACUGUCAAGUGGUGGAGCUUAAUUAUUGUUGCUACGCAGAGUCCAUUAUUAAGGUUUAAAAUAUCAACGUAAUAAAUUACUAUAAGGUGAAAAAUGACAUAAUCUCACAUUAAGGUGAACUUUCAUUAAUUAUUUUUAUGUACAUAUUUUCUUUUGGCCAUUUUAUUACUCUCAACAUUAUAGAGUUAAGAGUUUCUAAUUUCCAACACAAGCCAAAUUCUUUGCAAGAAAUUCGUGAACAAGCAUGCAAAACACUCCAAAAUCCUAUUUUAUGCACAUUUUGUUUAUUCUUGUUGGUAAUCACUUUUGAAGAAAAUGCCACUUCAGAUAGAGAUGCUGAUGAUCGAUGAAUUAGGGAUAAUUCCACAAAUUGUCAUCUUGUAUAUUUUCAUCAGCAGGUGUGUCUUCACCAGCAAGGUCAUGGCGCGGGGGGCUAAUAAGCAUUCCUUCAGCCAUGUUCUUAAGAACAUUAGGCAUAUCAAAGAUCAAAUCCUCGUCGAUGAACUCAUUUAUGUCCAAAUUUUCAGGUGGCAGCGCUGGAUUUUCCACACUCCCAGUAGCCUCGGCCGUCGCAGCAGUUGCGGUGGCUGCACUAGCAGUAAGAUCAUAGCGCGGAGGGCUAAUAUCAAAGAUCAAAUCCUCGUCGAUGAACUCAUUUACGUCCAAAUUUUCAGGUUGCAGCGCUGGAUUUUCCACACUCGCAAUAGCGUCGGCCGCCGCAGCAGCUGCCGAGGCUGCACUAGCAGCAGCUGCCGCAAUGUCCUGCGGCGAGGUGGAGGCCGGGACAGGCAAAGUGGAAGCCGAGUUUGGAAAGUUAAGCUCAGCUUCUUUACCUUUGAGAGCAAGCGCCGCCACAUCAUAGGCCAACGCCGCCAUUUCUGGAGUAGGAUAAGACCCAAGCCAUAUUCUAUUUGGUGUCCUCGGCUCCCGGAUUUCAGAUACCCACUUUCCACUACUUUUUCUGCGCCUCACCCCACGAUAAACCGGGUGGCCGCCAAAAUUGGCAGCUUCGGUUGGUGGACCACCACCCGUUGCCGCCUGUGACUGCGAAGUACUGCUAGAUUGUGACAUUGUAGCUGUAAUAUUUGUACUGCAUGUCGAUGAAAUUGACGUUUCAGGGGAAAGACUACGGCUGCCAUUUAUGGAAGUACGAUUUUAGGGUGGGUUAGUUCUAACUCAAGAAUAUGGAUAUGGUAGAUAGAUCCUAAGUGCAAACCAGUUAAUAAAAAUGAUAAGGUAAUAAGGAUCUGGGGUGUAACCCAGAAACUUGAUGGAUUUGUGGGUUGGAUGGCGAUUUUUGCAGAAAUUCACGGUUUUGUUAAACUCAUCGACAGUUUGCAUAUGUCAAUUGGGAAUUAUUUAAUACAGUUUUAGGAAGUGAUUUGAUUUGAAUGACGGGAGCUCUUCCUGUUCCAUUCCAUUUACAAGAAUAAAUGGAAUGUAUGUACAUCAGGGAAAAAAGGCAUGUAAAAAAGGCAUGUAUAUGACAAUUUUAUUCCAUUUAUGUUUGUCCACUGAAAUCAAAUCAAAACCUAACUAGUGUCAAACUAAUAACGCAGUAAAAAAUAAAAAAUUAUUAAAAAAAAAAUUAUAUAUAUAUAUAUACACACACACACACACACACACACACACAUAUACACAAUACCUAUUUAUUGUUUAUAAAUAUAAAUGAAUAGUAAUGCCUGACACACUUAAAUAUAUAGCUUUUUUUUGUACUAGUGAUGGCAUUGGGAGUACCAAUUCCAUUACUAUAUUGACUUUAAUAGAUGAUAAGUUGGUCCUAAAUUUUAGCCAUAAAAUAUACCUUUUACUUUUCAAAUGAAAUCCAUUUUUAUAUCUGUCCAGAUGCUAACGUCCGUGUGUCGAUGGAAAAUAUUUGGAAACUACCCAAUCUACGACUGCAUUCUAAAUUUUUGACGAAUCCAUGACAUCUUGCAUCAAGGUGAAGUCGAAGGAUCGACUUGUGCGACCUCCGAUACGGCGGUGAAUGAGGUUACACGCAGAACACUAGGUUGCCUGUAAGGCGGAAUUCUAGGACAGUCUUUGGAGAUAGAAUAUUCCAGGCUAUUCUGUGGACAUAUCGAUGGUGUUCAUUUUCUGUUCUGAACAAUAGACUGAUUUUGGACAAUUUAACCCUUGGUCGUUUGGUUGUCGAUUCUGCAUUGCUGCAACUUUAGUGCAAAUAGUGGUGGCCUUAAAGUUGUAAAUUUCUCAUCUUUCAUUAAACUUACGGACCAAAAGAUUAGUCAGUUCGGUAUCGUGUUCUUUCUCUAUUAUUAUUACAAUUAAGGCUAUCAUAUGGUGUAACCAUUUACUUUUCGAAGUAAUAAGCUAUCUCAUGUGGUGGCUAUUAGGUUUUGGGAUUAACAUGUGGGAUAACCAAUGCUUGUUGCUAGAACAUAAGAAUUAUUUGCCGAUUAAUUUUGAUAUCUUCAGUUUUUGGUUUUUUUAUUGUUUUGUGAUUUCUAUCUUUUGUUGCAUUGAUUAUCUUGUUAAAAUUAUCACCUAGACUUUACCCGUUUAACCAUUCUCUUAAUCAGAGAUCGUGAAUUGUAGAAAACCCUAAGCAUCUAGAACAAUAUACAUUAUGGCCCUAUGGAUGUAUUGUGCGUGACUCAUUCCUCUACUUUACUUUGAAUAAAAAUGAUAACAAGUUUUGAGAUGGCUAUUUUUAAUGGUAAAUGUGAUAGUUUUGAGAUGGCUAUUUUUAAUGGUAAAUGUGAUUUUUUGAUUUGAUAACAAAAAAUAAAAUAUAUUUUUAGUCAACAAAAAAUUUCUAAAGUAAUCGAUGGAAUUUAUUCUGCAACUUUAACUGAAGAUGAGAAAAAAGAAAAGGUGAAUUGACUUAUAAUUCUAUUUUAUUUUAUUUUUCACUUUAAGAAAAGUUGGUAAACACGAUUCUCCUUUAAAGUUUUGGAAAAAAAUUAAAGGAUCUUUAUUUGUUAAAAUCCACUCCAAAUUUGCUAUUUCUACUUGAAAGUUUUUUCAAUUUCAAAAUUGACUCUUCUAAAUAUCUGGAUGACUGUCUGGAUGCUUUUAACAAAUUGGUUCAAGACUUGCUAAUAAUUGUGAGAAAGUGUCUGAAUAAGAUAAAGCUUUUAUUUGUUGAAUACUAUUCCUAAUACUUAUAAAGAUGUGAAAAAUGUUAUUAUGUAUGAGAGUGAAACUUUAACACCUGAUAUUGUUAUAGACCCCUUAAGAAGUAAGGAUAUGGAGUUGAAAGCAUAAAAACAAGGGAGAAGAAAUUGUAAGGUUCACAUGACGAGAAGUGGACCUCAAGCUUGGCAUGGUAGAAAUCUAGAAAAUCAAGACAGUGGUCACUCGAAUGGUGACUCGAGUAAUGAGAGUGAUAAAAAGAAGGGUAAAAGUUGGAGAUUUAAGUCGAGAGCAAACGGUAAAUGUUAUCGCUGCGGUCUGGACAUCUUAUAAGAGGCUGUCCUAAAAAGAAGAAUAAACAGAAAGAAAAUGUGAGAGGUGAGGCGAACGUUGCUACUAUGUCUAGUUAUAACUCGAGUGAGGUUAAUUUAAUAAUAAAUUUUCUUGUGCCUAUUAUUGUAUUUACAUUUGCAUGUGAAAUCCUAUUCGCACGAAUGAUUGCUUGAUUUUGAUGUAUUAUUUAUGUUACAUCUCAUUAUGUUUAGUGUGUACAUUUGUAUGAAUUUAAGAGUGAUCGUGUUACUAUGUGUAACAUGCUACAUGCAUAGUGGUUAGCAUUGCUAUUGUGAGGUUUGAUACUGGGUGUGAUAACCACUUUAGUAGGUGUAUUAGUAGUAAGUAGGUCAACUUGUAAUAUAAAGAAUAGAUACCUAAGGGGUAUAUUAGUGACAUGUACGAUGGAUGUGUAGGGUUGUUAUUUUGACCACAAGAGGUAAGAUGAGGUGAUUAAAUAUUUUGAAAUAAUCUAUCUAUUAGAAUCCGGAACGGGUGAAGUGAGAGGGUGACACUUCAUCACCACUGUUCGGUGAAGACCCAUUAUUUACCUAGUUUAAGGUGAAAAGGUGAUAGAGGAACAUCCCACUGACUUGUGAUCUUUAGUGGUUUACUAGUUAAGCAUAAGGAGUGACCGAUAUAGUUUGCAUCAUAUGCAAGGAGAGGAUAGGUCUGUUAUCUAGAUACGAGCUACGUGGAUAGUGGUAUAGGAAAAUUAUGGUGGGAUCUUUUCUUGCGAUAAUUUAUGCAUUGGUAGCAUAUGUAGAUCAUUUAUUUGCCCUUAGUGAGCACAUGUAGUAGGUAUGUAUGUGUUUCAGAUUCAAGACACUGGUAAGGUCUGUGAUUUUCAUUUUUAUUUGGAUACCUUGAUUAGGCAAGUGUUAACUUGGUGUUGUUUGCUUGUAGGUUUAUUAGGUAUCAAGGUGAAAAUUUGUUUGACUUUUUAUUGAUACCCAAUAAGUCUAGGCCCAUGAUGUUUGUAUCGUUAAAGUUUAAUUUCAUAAACUUCGACCGAGAAUUGAAAUAAGGGAGUAAUAGUAUGAGAUGGGACCCAAAAUUAGAAGCUCAAUCUAUUCACUUGGCGAUGUUCCGUUUGUACAUUGUUUGGCCCAUUUAUUUCCCUAAACAUUGUAUAUGAGUUGAUUAGUGUGUUUUUACUCACAAGUUUUACACAAUUUUAAUUUCAUUAUUUGCUAAAUCUUAUGAAUAUAGAACCUUUUUUUACGUAUUUGCUAGCAUUGUUUUAAAAGUUAGGUAAAGUGGUGUAAAAAAGAUGCUAAAGUGAACAAAGAUGCCAAAGUCAGGGAAAAGAACCAGCAAAUGGCGCCUAGGUACCAUAUUUUGCAAUGUGUGGAUGACAGGAACAAAAUUUUGAAUAGCAAAUCAUCGCCCAGGCGCUUCUUGAUCCAGAAAAUGUUGUUCUUGGAUAGAGGCAGGGCCUAAGUGAUAAGUGUGUUUUUGCACACUUAUUUAUAUCAUAAACAUGACUUAAAUACAAGUAAAAGGAUUGAAUUGUUACUUAAUUUUGUCAAAUUCAUGCAAUGUAGGUGAUUUUAUGGAAAUAGUGAAAUUCAGGAGAAAAGAGCCGAAAAAGGACCAAAUUGGAGUAAAAUGAAAGUUCAGGGACCAAAUUACAAUUAUCUGAAAGUUGACCAGAUGAACAUCAAGCAAUUAGUCAAGCUAAGUACCAAUUGGAAGUUAUAAUGGAACAUUGGAGCAACUAGAAACAAGAGAGGAGGUCAAGGAGUGAAGGAAUGAAACUUGAGGAUCAAAAUGACUCAAAUUAGAAGUUCGCUCUACUAUGCGGUCGCAUAGUAUAAAACCUAUGCGGUCGCGGAUGACCCUCCAGGGAUUAAAAACGCCAUUUUUCAUAUACCUAUGCGGUCGCAUAGGUAUAACUUGUCCCCGAUUUUUGCAGUUUCCUUAUAUGAUUGUAACUCCUUUGGUAACCUAAUUUCGAUGGGUUUAAAUAGCAAAUAAACAUCCAGAAGCCGCAGGAACGAAUUGGGAGGCAAAAACAUUCAUCUUGGAGAGGAUUUGAAGGCAAGAACAAGAAUUGAUGCGAAGAUUUACAAGAUUUCUUCAAGUUUUGAUAACCCGGUGAUGUAUUUUAUUCAAAACUUGUUAGAUUUCGUUAUUUUAUAGGCUAGAUUUCUACAACUAGGUGAUGAUGAACCAUGUAAUUAUUAUUAAACUUGUUAUUUCAUGAUUUUGAAUUCAUAGUUCGAUGGAAUAUUUGAAUGGAUUAUAUUGCUUUAUUUAUUUCCACAAUUAACGUGCACUUAAUUUGUGUGAACUUGGUGGUUUAAUUCUGAAUUUGAGAAAAUUGGAUUAAACUCGACAUAUAUAAUUCAUCAUAGGGUCCGAUAGGGGAUAGAAAUAUACCACUAUACCCUAUGUAAAUCUUUAAUUGCUCACAAAAAGAUUAUAUGCGUUCUUGUAUAAUUGCAUCCGUUAUAGAGAUAUAGGCUGGUGAUUUAUGAGAAUAGGUUCAAUACAUCUCGAGAGAGAGUAUUGAAUAGAUUUAGGAGCAUUGAUUUGUCAAAUUCUUAUUGGAUUAUCAAAAUUGUGAAAUUAGGGUUUAAUUAGUAAUUAUUUGGGGAUUCGUGAUCCUAGUGCAUUUGUUUUACAUAGAUUUUCGUAAAUUGACAAUACAUUUCAUUUAUUUUCAUAAGAUUUCGUAAUUGAGUCAUUCAUUAAGUUGAUUUGAAAUUAGGGUUUUUCAAUUUGGGGAUUUCUCCCAAAAUUAGAGCUUUUGAUUCUAAAAUUCAUCUUAAUUCAAUUAGUUUCGGUUAAGGCUAAAAUAAAUAAAAUUGAACUACUCUUUCUCUGUGGGAUGAUACUCGGACUUUUAAAGUCCACUUUAUUACUUGUCACGAUCCGUACACUUGCGGUAAUUUAAAUCGAAAGAAAUAUUUCGCGAACACUAAGUGCCACUCAGAAUUCAAUCACGGCGUUUAGGUGUUGCUCUCUAGUGCUUAGGCAUCAUGCCGCAUGCUUUAGGGUUGCACCGUUUUGGCCCUUGAAAAGCCCAUAUUUCAAAUUUGGGAAAAACACAAGGGGGAGUAUAAAUAUAAGAAUGGAGACACUUAAAAGAGAUUCCACACAUUUAAAAGCACAAGAUACAAGUUGAGAAUUCGAGAGAAAAUCAAAAGGAAGAAAAAUCAAGAAAUUAAGAGCUAAAUCAAGAUUGGAGGCAAGAAGAGAACUUGGUGCAAGAUUCAUCCUUUUUUCUACAUCUCAAUUUAAAACUCGGCAAUGUACCCACUGCAAAUAUUUAGUUUUUUUUCCAUUAUUAUGAGUAGCUAAGUUUUCUAUUAGGGCAAACAAUAUAAUUUAUUGAGACCCUUUAUUUCUUUUAUUCUAGAUUCUUAUUCUUUUAUCUUACAGUGUUGAUUUUGCUAUGAGUUUAAUGCGUCGUAUUACUUGAUCACUAAUAUGAUGAUUUUGUAAAUCUUUUACGAAUCGAAAGGUGAGUUUGAGAUUUAUACCAUGUAGUAAAAUUCGGUAAAUUAAUAUAACUUGCAGAUAUAACUAUACUAAUUAUUACGGUCAUUAGAUGUAUUCUUAGAACUAAUAUCUUGUUUAAUUAAGGUUGAUUUGCAUAGAUUUAUGAAAUUGAAUUAGAGAGAUAAAUUGAAUAUAAUAGGAGAGUUCAAUUGAAUAUAAUAGGAGAGUUCGAUCGAACACUAUACUAGAUGAUGAAUCUUGAAUUACGAUUUAAAAGUUAUCAAUAGAUGAAAUUGUUGUGCCCUAAUAUCUAUUCCAUAUUUGAAUUCUAAAACUAUCUUGUGUGCAUCUAGCUAUAUUCAAGUAUUUAGAUCAAAAAUCACUUUUUUUCAUCAAAUAGGAAUUAGAAAUAUUAGAUUAAAUAUUAAUGUUUAGUUCUCAUGAAAACGAUAAUCCAAACUCAAAUAUCCACUAAAUUACUUGUUACGAUAUCGUACACCUGCAAUAGCAAAAAUUGACAACACGGACUGUCUCCUGUUAUGGAAAAAUCGUGCUUUUGGUGUGUGUAAUUUGAGAGAAUUGAAGGCCGCUGCUUCUUCUGUUUUCUCUAUGAAACCGUGAGUUAUUGAGCUUGCUUUCCUUUCCUAUCUAUCUCUUUGUGAGUUGUAACAAUCGCCACCCUCUUUUGUGGAAUACUCCUAUGUCGAUUUGAGUCCUUUGUGAGCUAGGAAAUAAAGGGCAACACAAGUGAUUUGGGUUUGAGCUUUGAUUGUUGGACUAACCUCGUGGUUGAUAAACUGACCUUGCUUUGCACCGUGAUUGAAGAUCAAUUGGGAGUGAUUUUAUCAACAAAAAAUGAACCUAAACAUCCUUCUUGAAUGGGACACACUAGCGCCAUAUAACCUUUUGAAACAUGGACGUAAAAUGGCUACAUCGCUCUCCGAAGUCUCCUCCAACCAAGGGUCCCAAUGUAAUCAAUUACAUGAAUAACAAUCGCCAACUCAACCUUGAAAGCAUAGCAGACACCUAGAGGGAUGGCAAAACAACCCUUGACAAAACCUCUGCAACUACUAACCACCUCUCCUCAACAAGAAGUGCCGGGAUACUAAAAGUCAACCUCUUCAUGUUAACCUUGUACCAACCUAGUUUAAUGGAAACUAGAUAACAUCCAAAUUAGGGAGAGCCAGAGGAGCAAACUAUAAACGUAAAGCCUAGAUCUGUAAUAGUCAUAAACUCAUCUAUCGAAGUCCUUGUCUUGUUAACAGGCUUCAUGUCGUCAAAGGUAUUCGAAACCAAACCACCCAAAAAUUGAAAUAGUGGAAACUCACUAGAGUUUUUCAAUUGUAUGUCUAUGUCAUGAAAGGUAUGAGUAUAAAAUUGGACGUGGGGUCGACACAUCCGACUAAUGCCGAGUGUUGAAUGUUGAAUAUUGUUAUAAUUUAACCAAUUUUUGACACUAAAUUUAGUGGGUCUAAAUAAUAACAGCCCGCUGAAUCUUGUUUUUCCGGAUAAUACACUAGAGUACUAAACUCACAUUAUUGAUUUAAUUUUUCUACUUAAGAAAUAAAGACUUACUAUCUUUGGAAUCUGAUUCUACACCGUUGCUUAAGACUUUAGUGGAUCGACUCUAUUGCAUAAGUUGAUUCCUAAUUUUAUCUCACAUUAUGAAUUGAUAUAUCCAGAAAUGAUAAGGAAAAAAGAUGAAUUUUUAAAUGUCAUUUCUUUUAUAGGAACGCAUAUUAUAAACUUGCAUCACGUGCAUAGGUUAAGUUACAUUUGCUCAUUUACAUUAUUCUCUUAUUUUCGUAUGAUAAUAUAUAGCUAAACAGUUUGAGGUGACUGCUUGGGAUGAGAUGAACUGAUUACUAUCCAUGUCUAAUAUUUUAUCACUUCUCAAUUAAAAUACUUUGAAUCUUUUCACAUUAUUAGAAUUGUUUUAAAAUAAAUCAUUUCACAAUAUGUAGUUUUCUCUUUGCAAUUUCUGUGAAAAGGAACUUUAGGAUUUUAUUAAUUUUGCAAAUUAUUGUGAGUUCAAUUAAAUUCACCGUUAUUAUGUUCAGAAAUUAAUUUUUUUCUACUUUUCCGCAUUUAUAAUUUUAAAUAGUAAUUAAAUAUUAACACUUCUAAAUCAAGAAUAUCUAGACUUGGGUGCUACACUAGGCAUCCUAGAGACGGAGGGAAAAUAUAUGUUGGGGUUAAAGGCUUAAAGGCCUAAAUAUUUUGUCCUAGUUACUGUAUUUUCCACAGAAAAACAAUAUCAUAUCUGUUAAUACUCUAAAAAAAAUAAAAAAAAUAGCAAGAAUCUUCAAUACAUUUUAUGUAUUGCAGUCUACUUGGCAUAAUGAAUAGACACAAACACAAAAUUGGACUCGAAUGGAUUGUAUCUUCAAGUUUAAUAUGUUUGUCAUCUCGUCUUUUGUCAAGAUGAAACAAAAAAUAAAUAAAAUGAAGAAGAAGAAGAAAGAGAAAGAGAAAAUUUAAUACUUUAAAAUCAGAAAAAAAAAAAGGAUAAAUAUUUUGUCUUCGAUUUUCUCCUUCCUUUGAUUACUUGAAUAAAUGUUGGAUCACAUGUCUAACAGAGUAUUCACAUCUAAAUGGAGCUUUAUAUAAUAUCUUUCUUUCUUUUUGUCAUAUCAACUUAACAAAGUUUUCGUAAGAUUAAUUGAAUAUGAUUUUUCAGAUAUGUCUAUUUCUAUUUACGUGACAAUUUUUUAAGCAAUUCACAUUGAAGAUGCUCUAAUCUAAUUAAAACACACCUAAUUAAUUUUAAUAAAAUAAUUGAAGAAACGCCUCCUAGUUUGUCAAUUACAAUAGAAAGAUCCUGUAAAUAGCUAUAAAAUAAAAUAUCAUAUACUAAUAAUAUAAUUACACUACUAUAGAAAUAAUAAAGAUUAAAGAGCUAGAAUUUAAAAAUAAAUGGAGAUCAUAUCAAUCUUUCCACAUUGUUUACAAAUUUAAAAUUUAAGUCAGAACUAAUGUUACUCAACAAAUUAAAAAUCGGGAAAAAAAAAGUUUAUUGUUAUACAAAAUUUGACCAUGCCUCAAUAAAAAAUAAAAAAAUGGAAAAAUCGACCAAACCAAUUUUUGACACGGGUAAUUGAUUUGGUUUUUCCAUGAUGAGUCAAUUCAGCCAUAUUUUGAAGCCUCAAUCCCCAGGUUAAUCGAAGAGACCCAACUUACAUGUUUAACUUUUUUUUAAGGAAAACAAAAAUCAAAUACAACACCAAACAACACAUAUACAUGCCUCAAUUUGUGAUAUGUCAAUGAUGGAAAUAUAAUCAUUCAAAUUUGGAAUUUGUUUUGAAAUAUCAGAACAUAGAAUGUGUGAAUCAUUGCACCAAUUUAUAUGCACAUCAAUCUCCUUUGUAGGGUUCAAUCUAUACUCCGUUGGUAUAUUUGGCAAGAUCUCUACCACUCUUACAUGUAAUGCAUAGACCGUCAUGCAUGCAUCUUUACGCUUAAGCUCCAAAUAGAAAUGUAGAGAGCCGUAAUUUUUUAUUCAGAUAGGGGACAUAUCUAUAUCAACAAUGUACUCAAUCUUCGAGAUUAUUAUAUUUGGAAAUAUUAUAUUUUAAGAAAUAGGUAGAUUCGAGAUUAUUUUACAUUUAAUCAAGUAUUUUUGGUUUUGUAAACGUAACAUAGUAAAUGAUGAAAUAAUUUUCAGUAAUGAUACAAUUACCAAAAUUUCCCAGGACUAAAUUUUUGCUACAAACUGGAAGUCCAAUUUACAUUUUGGGUGGGCUUUUGAAGUUCGGUCACAGUCCAGAAAGGCCAACUUGAAAAAGAUGAUUAUUGCUUGUCACUUUGUUUGCUGAAAAUGGUAAGGAGCACCAAAUAAAUAUGGGAAAAGCUCAUAUGUCAUCAUCUGGGUGCAUGAACAGGAUAGGCAUGAAAGAUAAGUGCAGUCAAUGGAGAUUAUAAUUAGGCUUUUGUGGUGCUUAAGAAGUUUCUUGAUCUUUAAUUAUCAACAAUCUUGACUUUACCAACAUUAUUGCCACUUGCCGAAUGCACCAAUAAUUGGCCAAACAUGCUCUUUUACCUUAAUUCAAUUCUAAGCACUCAAAAUGUUAAACUUAUUAUUAAGGGAAUAAUUUUAAUUAUGGAAACUUGGUGUAAGCAGUGUCAGCAUUAUUGACUGUUGAGAAUCUUUAAAAAUCAACUGUAUAAAUUCUUUCUCGAUCACUGGGCAAUUUGCAAAACGAAAGUGGUCAGUAAUUUGCAACCUCAUAUUAUUAUGAGAGUUGUCUCUUCUAACCUUUUUCUAACCAAAUUGCUCAUCCAUGAAUAUAUUGUGUUCGUGAGAUAAAAAUGCUUUUCCAUUCGGUUAUUUGGAUGACUAAAAUGUGGGCUUCAAAUCAUGAGCCUAGAGCUAGUAUAGCAAGUACUGUUGUUAAGACAUAUUUAGCCCUUGUUUGGUGUGGUUUAAAAUUAGAAUUUUAAUAGAUUUUGAUUAAAGUUGAUGAAAUGUAAAGUUUAAAAUUUUAUGGGUCUCAUGAAAUGUGUGGUUAAAAUUAAUUGCUGACUUUAACUUAGAUUAAAAUCUAGAUUUUAAUUUUCACCAAAUAGUGGCCUAAUGAAUUGUAGCAAUUGGAGAGAACAGAUUCAAUUUGCAUGCUCUCACAAUAAUGUAGUCUCUUUUUUUUUUUCUUUUUUAUCCACUUGAAAUUGUAUCGACAACGAACAUGAAAGCAUACCAUGAUUUUUGCCUUUGCUUUGUUUGGCAUUGCAUGAAGAAACUGUCAAGUGGUGGAGCUUAAUUAUUGUUGCUACGCAGAGUCCAUUAUUAAGGUUUAAAAUAUCAACGUAAUAAAUUACUAUAAGGUGAAAAAUGACAUAAUCUCAUAUUAAGGUGAACUUUCAUAAAUUAUUUUUAUGUACAUAUUUUCUUUUGGCCAUUUUAUUACUCUCAACAUUAUAGAGUUAAGAGUUUCUAAUUUCCAACACAAGCCAAAUUCUUUGCAAGAAAUUCGUGAACAAGCAUGCAAAACACUCCAAAAUCCUAUUUUAUGCACAUUUUGUUUAUUCUUGUUGGUAAUCACUUUUGAAGAAAAUGCCACUUCAGAUAGAGAUGCUGAUGAUCGAUGAAUUAGGGAUAAUUCCACAAAUUGUCAUCUUGUAUAUUUUCAUCAGCAGGUGUGUCUUCACCAGCAAGGUCAUGGCGCGGGGGGCUAAUAAGCAUUCCUUCAGCCAUGUUCUUAAGAACAUUAGGCAUAUCAAAGAUCAAAUCCUCGUCGAUGAACUCAUUAAUGUCCAAAUUUUCAGGUGGCAGCGCUGGAUUUUCUAUACUCCCAGUAGCAUCGGCCGUCGCUGCAGUUGCGGUGGCUGCACUAGCAGUAAGAUCAUAGCGCGGAGGGCUA